rnacentral:rRNA from 1 species
UGAAACCAGGAUAGAUACCCUGUUAUACUAAAGCUAAAAAAUAACAAUCUUGAGUAGUAAAAAUUAAUUAGUUUGAAAUUCAAAGAGUUUGGCGGUAUUUUAGUCUAGUUAGAGGAACCUGUUUCAUAAACGAUAUUCCGCGUAAAAUUUUUCUUGUCCUGGUAAGAGCUAGUAUACCAUCAUUGUUAGAUAAUUUUAUUUAUUAAAAAAAUUGUUGUAAUUAAGUAAAUUUAAAUAUAUUAGAUCACGGUGCUGCUGAUGGAUAAGUGUAAAUGGGUUACAAUAGUUUUAAUUUAUUACGGAUUUAUAAAUGAAAAUGUUAUUAAGAAGGUGGAUUUGAUAGUAAUAUAAAUUUAAUAUGUUUAUAUGAGAUUAGCUCUAAAAUAUGUACAUAUCGGCCGUCGCUA